rnacentral:miRNA from 1 species
UCAUAGCUAAAUCUCUGUUUCUCUCUCUCUCUCUCUCUCUCUCUCUCUCUCUCACACACACACACACACACACACACACACAGAGAGAGAGAGAGAGAGAGAGAGAGAGAGAGAGAGAGAGAAAGAGAAAAG